rnacentral:rRNA from 3 species
CUAAGAAUAUUCCGCAAUGGACGGAAGUCUGACGGAGCGACGCCGCGUGGAUGAAGAAGGCCGAAAGGUUGUAAAGUUCUUUUGCUAGGGGAGAAUAAGUGUGGGAGGGAAUGCCUGCACGAUGACAAGGACUAGCGAAUAAGUCCCGGCCAACUACGUGCCAGCAGCCGCGGUAACACGUAGGGGGCGAGCGUUGUUCGGAAUUACUGGGCGUAAAGGGCAUGUAGGCGGCUUGGUAAGCCUGGCGUGAAAGUCUGCAGCUUAACUGUAGGGAUGCGUUGGGAACUGCUUAGCUUGAGUUACGGAGAGGGAGCUGGAAUUCCUGGUGUAGGGGUGAAAUCUGUAGAUAUCAGGAAGAACACCGAUGGCGAAGGCAAGCUUCUGGCCGACAACUGACGCUGAGGUGCGAAAGUGUGGGGAUCAAACAGG